rnacentral:rRNA from 1 species
AUACAUAGGGGGCAAGCGUUAUCCGGAAUUAUUGGGCGUAAAGGGUGCGUAGGCGGUCUAUUAAGUCUGAGGUGUAAGUGCAGGGCUCAACCCUGUGAUGCUUUAGAAACUGGUAGACUUGAGUGAGAUAGAGGCAAGUGGAAUUCCAUUUGUAGCGGUAAAAUGCGUAAAUAUAUGGAGGAACACCAGUGGCGAAGGCGGCUUGCUGGGUCUAUACUGACGCUGAGGCACGAAAGCGUGGGGAGCAAACAGGAUUAGAUACCCUGGUAGUCCACGCCGUAAACGAUGAGUACUAAGUGUUGCGAGAACGCAGUGCUGAAGUUAACAUAUUAAGUACUCCGCCUGAGUAGUACGUACGCAAGUAUGAAACUCAAAGGAAUUGACGGGG